UCGACCCAUUCUAAACGAGGAUGCCACUGAGUUUCAGCAUAUUAUCAAUAAGCGAGGAAAAGAAACCAAAUGGGAUUCUUAGUAACGCUAGCGAACAGGAAGAGCCCACUUGAAAAUUGGCGUCGCCGGCAUUGAAUUAUGUCGGAGAAGUCCUCAGCGAUGGGCGACCGAAGUUCCUGGAGUAGCCGGAGAGGGUGAGAGAAACUUCGCGGUGCGGAACCUCGACUAACGCAGGCGGCCCACGAGUCGGGUUGUUUGGGAAUGCAGCCCAAUCGGGCGGUAAAUUCAGUCGAAGAUAAAUAUGGCCGAUAGCGAACAAAAGUACCGUGAGGUAAAAGAUGAAAAAGGACUUUGAAAGAGAAUAAAAGAUUGCUUGAAAUUGUCGGGGAGGGAUGGGGGCCGGGGCCGAGCGCGCCCGGUCGGAUGCGAACGAGUGAAAUCCGUCCUGGAAAAACUGGGAACCGGCCGGAUUAAGGUGGUGACUGGCCUAAGCCGGGCUUUUUGUUAAGCCAGCGGGAAGGCGUCGUACUAUCAAAAUAAAUGAUGCAGCCGCAGCGCCUCGGCGUGCCUGAAACGUCUAUAAGUACUUUCAGGCGUCGGCACGGCUCCCCAUUUGACCCGUCAGAAACCACGUUAAGGAGUCUGACAUGUAAUGCGAGUCAGCGGUGAAGGUAAAGCGCAGGCAUGAGGAGGCUUUGAUUGGCUGGGAUCCCUCGGUGCCUGACCCGGCCGACCUUGAUCUUCUGAGAAAGUUUGAGUGUGAGCAUGCGCCGGGGACCGAAAGAUGGUGAACCAUGCCUUGGCGGAAGCAAGCGGGAAAACUCUGGUGGAAGCCCAUGACCGAUCUUGUGUGCAAAUGCGUUAAAUAGGACUUGGGUAUAGGGCGAAAAGACUAAUCCCGAAUCAGUAGCUGGUUUCCUCGAAGUUUCCCUCAGGAUAGCUGGGCUGGGAAGCAGUUCUAUCGGAGUAAAACCAAUGAUUAGAGGCAUGGGGCGCCAAUGUCACGACUGAUUCUCAAACUUUAAAUAGGUAGGGACGGGGUGAAACUUUGUUGGGUCAUCCCGAAUCGAAACUCAAAUGGGCCAUUUUGGUAAGCAGAACUGGCGUGCGGGAUGAACAGGAAGCCAGAGGUUCGUUGCCCAACUGUAGCUAACCUAGAACCCACAAAGGUGUUGGUGAUUAAGACAGCGGGGCCCGUGGUCAUGGAAAUCGAGUAAUCAUUAAGUGUGUAACAACUCACCCCGAAUCAACUAGCCAGAAAAUGGAUGGCGCUGGAAAGCGCGACCUAUACCGACCGUCGGGGCAAAGAGCCGAACCCUCGAUGAUGGUAGGAGAAGGUGUUGGUCGCUGCAAAACCUAGAAGACCCGGCCAGGCGGAAAACGUCGGUGUCGGAUCUUGGUGGUAGUAGCAAAUAUUCAAAUGAGAACUUUGAAGGCCGAAGGGGAAAGGUUCCAUGUGAGCGGCACUUGCACAUGGGUUAGUCGAUCUAAAGAGUGGGAAACCCGUCUGAUUAUGCACAAAAGACGAACCGAAAGGAUCGGUUAAAAUUCCGGAACAGGGCGUGGCGGUUGGCGACAGCGUUAGAAGUCCGGAGGCGUCGGCGAAAUUCGGAAAAGUUAUCUUUUCUGUUUAACAACCUGCCCACCCUGAAGCGGCUCAGCCGGAGGUAAGUCCAGCGGCUGGAAAAACCCGCCGCGUCGCGUGGUGUCCGGUGCAUUCCCGUGACCGCGAAAAUCGGGAGGACCGGUACGCUCACGCCGGUCGUACUCAUAACCGCAUCAGGUCUCCAAAGGUGAACAGCCUCUGGUCGAUGGAACAAUGUAGGCAAAGGGAAAUUGAGCAAAAUGGAUCCGUAACCGGGAAAAGGAUUGGCUCGAGGGCUGGGCUCGGGGGUCCCCGAUUCCGAACCCGUCGACUAUUGGCGGGCUGCUUGAGCUGCUAACGUGGCGAACCGGACCGCCUCGUCGAGAGGGGGACUGAAGCCCUCUUUCCGAGAACUUUCCGGGCGUCGAACAACUUGAACUCAGAACUGGGUACGGACAAAGGGAAUCCGGCUGUUUAAUUAAAACAAAGCAUUGCGAUGGUCCCUGCGGAUGCUAACAAAAUGUGAUUUCUGCCCAGUGCUCACUGAAUGUCAAAGUGAAGAAAUUCAACAAGCGCGGGUAAACGGCGGGAAGUAACUAUGACUCUCUUAAGGUAGCCAAAUGCCUCGUCAUCUAAUUAGUGGCGCGCAUGAAUGGAUUAACGAGAUUCCCACUGUCCUGUCUACUAUCCAGCGAAACCACAGCCAAAGGGAGCGGGCUUGGCAGAAUCAGCGGGGAAAAAGACCCUGUUGAGCUUGACUCUAGUCCGACUUUGUGAAAUGACUUGAGAGGUGUAGAAUAAGUGGGAGCUCCGGCGCAAGUGAAAUACCACUACUUUUAACGUUAUUUUACUUACUCCGUGAAUCGGAGGCGGGGUAACAACCCUUCUUUUAGACCAAGACUCGCUUCGGCGUGUCGAUCCCGCAUUAAUUUCCUCCCAAAACGGGAACCUUAAAAAAUUCAAGUAUAUGAUGGAAGAUCGAAUAGCAUAAGUCCGUUGAUAAUUGAUUGACUUGGACGGUCCGUCCAUCGGACCGCCUUAAAUUAUAAUUACCAGGAUCUGGCCAAAAGGAAGAAUCCAAUGCUGCGACUUAAAUGGUGCAUCGGAGGAAAAUGUAAAUUAACAGAUGAUGGCGAGUGGCAUGCUGAUAUGUAUUCAGCCCAGUUCAAUCAGGAUCGGGAAGUCCAUUGGAAGGCCAGCAUGCGAUAUAUUAAACCGACCAAUUCCCAGUUGUCCCCUCGUUAAAACGGAAGUCCCAAAAAAUUCCAGCAUGUUAUGUCCCCAAUGGCCAGCGUUGGGUUUUUCAAAAUCGGUACCCGGAAUCGGUGCGGAUUUUUAAUAUAAAGUUGUCAAAAUCCGAUAAUCAACAUGCUGAUAUGAGUUCAGUACGGGAUCAGUUCACGGAUCAGUACACCCGCCACGGAUCAAAUUACGGAUCAAGUCCCGGAAGACCAACAUUCAUGAUAUGUGGUCAGCAUGCUGCUGAUAUGAGUUCAGUUGGGAUCAGUACCGGAUCAGUACGGACGGUCAAUGUCCCAGGAUCGCGAUAUAUGGUCAACAUGCUGAUAUGGAUUCU
rnacentral:rRNA from 1 species